rnacentral:rRNA from 1 species
UACCAGACUCCUACGGGAGGCAGCAGUGAGGAAUAUUGGUCAAUGGCCGGAAGGCUGAACCAGCCAAGCCGCGUGAAGGACGAAGGUGCCAAGCAUUGUAAACUUCUUUUGUCAAGGGACAAAAUCAGGCUCGAGAGCCUGACCGAGGGUACUUGAAGAAAAAGCAUCGGCUAACUCCGUGCCAGCAGCCGCGGUAAUACGGAGGAUGCGAGCGUUAUCCGGAUUUAUUGGGUUUAAAGGGUGCGCAGGCGGUCUGUUAAGUCAGCGGUCAAAGCCCGGGGCUCAACCCCGGUUCGGCAUUGGAUACUGGCAAACUAGAAUGUGGUAGAGGGAAAGGGAAUUCCUGGUGUAGCGGUGAAAUGCGUAGAUAUCAGGAGGAACAUCGGUGGCGAAAGCGCUUUACUGGACCAUUAUUGACGCUGAGGAACGAAAGCCAGGGGAGCAAAUGGGAUUAGAUACCCUCGUACAC